rnacentral:rRNA from 1 species
CCUACGGGUGGCAGCAGUGAGGAAUAUUGGUCAAUGGACGAGAGUCUGAACCAGCCACGUAGCGUGAAGGAUGACUGCCCUAUGGAUUGUAAACUUCUUUUAUAUGGGAAUAAAAUGUUCCACGUGCGGGAUUUUGUAUGUACCAUAUGACUAAGGAUCGGCAAACUCCGUGCCAUAAGCCGCGGUAGUACGGGGGAUGCGAUGGUUAUCCGGAUUUAUUGGGGGUAAAGGGUGGGCAGGCGGAAUUUUAAGUCACCGGUAAAAUCGUGGGGCUCAACCCCAGACAGCCGUUGAAACUGGGUAGCUAGAGUGUGGGAGAGGUAUGCGGAAUGCGUGGUGUAGCGGUGAAAUGCAGAGAUAUCACGCAGAACACCGAUUGCGAAGGCAGCAUACCGGUGCACAACUGACGCUGAGGCACGAAAGCGUGGGUAUCGAACAGGAUUAGAUACCCGAGUAGUC